CGCGCGCACAUUGCGUUUUCCACUGUCGUCUUCGUUUGUGGUUUCGUUUGCGGGAUAGCCGUUUUUCAGCCGAAAAUUUCUCUUUUUAACACAUGCAUCCUUAUGUACAACCGAUCUCAUGUCAUUUUUGAGCUAUCAAAGAAGUAUUUUAGCCACUAAUUUCUGCAUCAACGGACUCUGAAUGAUGUUUUUGGACCUCUGCAAAAAUUGGGAUUAUGGCGGUCGUGUGGAUGGAACCAAACCAUGUCAGCUGGGCGAGAUGAUGGUACAUUUUAACAAUGAAGAUGACAUUCAGCAUCUUUGUCUUCACUCAUGGUAAGCUAAUGAUGGCUGACAGGAACUCCAUGUACUGAACUUUACUGAUCCUCCAUGUGGUGGGCAACAGUUCUUCAGUUAUCACAGGGCAGUAUCCGCUCCGUUCACAAGUACUCCCUCACCGGCAA